AUGAUCUCUACAUCCCUACUGCUGCUGCUGCUGGCAGCCGUACACUGUGUUCACAGUGUUGAGCUGAUCCAGACCGGAAACACAGUAUUAACUCCUGGUCAGUCACUGACUCUGACCUGUAAAGUGUCUGGAUAUUCAGUAACUGACAGCAGCUACUGGACACACUGGAUACGACAACCUACAGGAAAAACUCUGGAAUGGAUCGGACAGAUAUCUGGUAGUGGGGGCACUUACUACAGUGAGAAACUGAAAAGCAGGUUUCAGGUAUCCAGAGACACGUCCAGCAGCACAGUGACAUUAACAGGACAGAACAUGCAGACUGAAGACACAGCUGUGUAUUACUGCGCUCGUGAACCACACAGUGAGACGAAUAAACAACAUCCCUGUACAAAAACUCCAAGUACAGUGAAAUAAAAUUCUUCACCUGCAUCUGAUGAGAUUUCCCCGACCACCACACACAUCUAUUUUUAUUUUCCAUCUCGUUUCAUAUAUUCUGAAAGACAAAGACAGAUAGAGAAAUGUUUUUACAUCAUUUUUUGCAUUUGUAGUACAUAUAAUUUUCCAAUUUUAAAGACAGUCCAACAGUAAAGGUUUACUCAACCUUUGGUCAUUAUCUGUAUCCUGUAUAUUUAAACUGCAAACACAUUCGAAAUGUUUGCACAUUACGUUUUUCUUUAAGCCUUAAGGCCUGUGAUGGCCGCUCUUUCUUUCUUAAUUUGAAGAUCUAAUG